rnacentral:rRNA from 1 species
UACGGAGGGGGCUAGCGUUGUUCGGAAUUAUUGGGCGUAAAGCGCGUGUAGGCGGCUUUGCAAGUCGGGUGUGAAAGCCCUCAGCUCAACUGAGGAAGUGCGCCCGAAACUGCAGAGCUUGAGUACCGGAGAGGAUGGCGGAAUUCCCCAAGUAGAGGUGAAAUUCGUAGAUAUGGGGAGGAACACCGGUGGCGAAGGCGGCCAUCUGGACGGAUACUGACGCUGAGACGCGAAAGCGUGGGGAGCAAACAGG